rnacentral:tRNA from 1 species
CCGGGGCGGGGCCGCAUGCGCGUGCGGCCGUUCAGCUCGUAGCCGAGCUUGCGCGAGACGCCCAGCGACCUGUCGUUCCACUCGGCCGCGCUGGAC